rnacentral:rRNA from 1 species
CAAUGGACGAAAGUCUGAUGGAGCAACGCCGCGUGAGUGAAGAAGGAUUUCGGUUCGUAAAACUCUGUUGCAAGGGAAGAACAAGUAGCGUAGUAACUGGCGCUACCUUGACGGUACCUUGUUAGAAAGCCACGGCUAACUACGUGCCAGCAGCCGCGGUAAUACGUAGGUGGCAAGCGUUGUCCGGAAUUAUUGGGCGUAAAGCGCGCGCAGGUGGUUCCUUAAGUCUGAUGUGAAAGCCCCCGGCUCAACCGGGGAGGGUCAUUGGAAACUGGGGAACUUGAGUGCAGAAGAGGAUAGUGGAAUUCCAAGUGUAGCGGUGAAAUGCGUAGAGAUUUGGAGGAACACCAGUGGCGAAGGCGACUGUCUGGUCUGUAACUGACACUGAGGCGCGAAAGCGUGGGGAGCAAACAGGAUUAGAUACCCUGGUAGUCCACGCCGUAAACGAUGAGUGCUAAGUGUUGGGGGGUUUCCGCCCCUCAGUGCUGCAGCUAACGCAUUAAGCACUCCGCCUGG